GAUGAAGAACGUAGCGAAAUGGGAUACGUAAUGUGAAUUGCAGAAUUCAGUGAAUCAUCGAAUCUUUGAACGCAUAUUGCGCUCUCUGGUAUUCCGGAGAGCAUGCUUGUUUGAGUAUCAGUAAACACCUCAACUCCCUUUUCUUUUUUGAAAUUGGAGCUGGACUUGAGUGAUCCCAACGCUUUCUUCCAAGAAAGUGGCGGGUUGCUUGAAAUGCAGGUGCAGCUGAACUUUUCUCUGAGCUAUAAGCAUAUCUAUUUAGUCUGCCUAAAAAACAGAUUAUUACCUUUGCUGCAGCUAACAUAAAGGAGACUAGUUCUUGUGCUGACUGAUGCAGGAUUCACAGAGACAGCUUCGGCUGACUUUGUAAACUCGAUCUUAAAUCAAGAAAGACUACCCGCUGAACUUAAGCAUAUCAAUAAGCGGAGGA
rnacentral:misc_RNA from 1 species